rnacentral:rRNA from 1 species
UACGUAGGGGGCAAGCGUUGUCCGGAAUCAUUGGGCGUAAAGCGCGUGUAGGUGGCCAAGUAGGUCCGCUGUGAAAACUUGAGGCUCAACCUCAAGCUGUCGGUGGAAACCCCUUGGCUAGAGUCCGGAAGAGGAGAGUGGAAUCCCUGGUGUAGCGGUGAGAUGCGCAGAUAUCAGGAAGAACACCCGUGGCGAAGGCGGCUCUCUGGGACGGUACUGACGCUGAGACGCGAAAGCGUGGGGAGCGAACAGG